rnacentral:tRNA from 2 species
GAUGGUUCAACCCCUUCCCCUACUA